AACGAACGCUGGCGGCGUGGAUAAGACAUGCAAGUCGAACGGGACAGACCGAGUAGCAAUAUUUGGAAUGUUCAGUGGCGAACGGGUGCGUAACACGUGGAUAACAUUCCGGAAAGCGGGGAAUAGCCCAGGGAAACUUGGAUUAAUACCGCAUGUGGCCGCAAGGCUAAAGACGGGGACCGCAAGGCCUGUCACUUUCCGAUUGGUCCGGGGCCUAUCAGCUAGUUGGCGGGGUAAUGGCCCACCAAGGCUACGACGGGUAGCUGGUCUUAGAGGACGACCGGCCCAACUGGACAUGAGACACGGUCCAGACACCUACGGGUGGCAGCAGUCGAGAAUCUUUCACAAUGGGGGCAACCCUGAUGGAGCGACGCCGCGUGGAGGAUAAGGUCUUCGGAUUGUAAACUCCUGUCAUGCGAGAACAAGGUACUCAGGCUAAUAACCUGAUUGUUUGAUGGUACCGCAAGAGGAAGAGACGGCUAACUCUGUGCCAGCCGCCGCCGUAAAAC
rnacentral:rRNA from 1 species